UAAGGAAUAUUGGACAAUGCCCGCAAGGGUGAUCCAGCCAUGCCGCGUGCAGGAAGACGGCCCUAUGGGUUGUAAACUGCUUUUAUACAAGAGAAAACCUCCCUACGUGUAGGGAGCUGAUAGUAUUGUAGGAAUAAGCAUCGGCUAACUUCGUGCCAGCAGCCGCGGUAAGACGAAGGAUGCAAGCGUUAUCCGGAUUCAUUGGGUUUAAAGGGAGCGUAGGCGGUCUUAUAAGUCAGUGGUGAAAGCUCCUCGCUUAACGAGGAAAUUGCCAUUGAUACUGUAGGACUUGAGUACAGUUGCUGUGGGCGGAAUAUGACAUGUAGUGGUGAAAUACAUAGAUAUGUCAUAGAACACCGAUUGCGAAGGCAGCUCACAAAACUGUAACUGACGCUGAGGCUCGAAAGUGCGGGGAUCAAACAGG
rnacentral:rRNA from 1 species